CCUACGGGUGGCAGCAGUGGGGAAUAUUGGACAAUGGGCGAAAGCCUGAUCCAGCCAUGCCGCGUGUGUGAAGAAGGUCUUCGGAUUGUAAAGCACUUUAAGUUGGGAGGAAGGGCAGUUACCUAAUACGUGAUUGUCUUGACGUUACCGACAGAAUAAGCACCGGCUAACUCUGUGCCAGCAGCCGCGGUAAUACAGAGGGUGCAAGCGUUAAUCGGAAUUACUGGGCGUAAAGCGCGCGUAGGUGGUUUGUUAAGUUGAAUGUGAAAUCCCCGGGCUCAACCUGGGAACUGCAUCCAAAACUAGCAAGCUAGAGUAUGGUAGAGGGUAGUGGAAUUUCCUGUGUAGCGGUGAAAUGCGUAGAUAUAGGAAGGAACACCAGUGGCGAAGGCGACUACCUGGACUGAUACUGACACUGAGGUGCGAAAGCGUGGGGAGCAAACAGGAUGAGAUUCACUUGUAGUC
rnacentral:rRNA from 1 species